rnacentral:rRNA from 1 species
AACGAACGCUGGCGGCAGGCUUAACACAUGCAAGUCGAACGCUCGUAGCAAUACGGGAGUGGCAGACGGGUGAGUAACGCGUGGGAACAUACCCUUUGGUUCGGAAUAACUGAGAGAAAUUUCAGCUAAUACCGGAUGUGCCCUUCGGGGGAACGAUUUAUCGCCAAAGGAUUGGCCCGCGUCUGAUUAGGUAGUGGGUGAGGUAACGGCUCACCAAGCCGACGAUCAGUAGCUGGUCUGAGAGGAUGAUCAGCCACACUGGGACUGAGACACGGCCCAGACUCCUACGGGAGGCAGCAGUGGGGAAUAUUGGACAAUGGGGGCAACCCUGAUCCAGCCAUGCCGCGUGAGUGAUGAAGGCCUUAGGGUUGUAAAGCUCUUUCGCUAGGGAAGAUAAUGACGGUACCUAGAGAAGAAGCCCCGGCUAACUUCGUGCCAGCCGCCGCCGUAA